GGUUAUAGUUAAAUUUUUGUGUUUUGGUCUGUUUUUCUCAUACUAUAUGCAAUAGGUCUACUAUAUUUGUUGUAUGGAAUGAUUGUAAGGUGUACAUGUCUAGCGGGCAGAUGUCAUGUGACCUUGACCUCAUUUUUAGGUUCAGUGGUCAAAGUUAAGUUUUUGAGUUUUGGUCUUUUUAUCUAAUACUAUAUGCCAUAGGUCAACUAUAUUUGGUGUAUGGAAAUAUUUUAUGAUCUUUAUGUCAGUCGCGCAGGUUUUAUUUGACCGUGACCUCAUUUUCACGGUUCAUUGCACAGUGUUAAGUU
rnacentral:lncRNA from 1 species